CAGGCCUGGAAGAAACAGGUUUCCACAACCCAUAUAGACUUGCCCGAAGAUCUCCCAUCAAACUUUAACUUGGAAUUUCUUGUGCUACAGCAAUCACUUGACAAGUCUUUCCUGUAUGGAGCCCUCAUGGAGAAGUCCAAAAGCUGUGUUGAGGGUGGGGACAAAAACCCUUCUGGGAAACAGACUGCCAUAGAAGUAAGAAGCCGUUUUGCUAGGACAAACACCAAUUUUGUCAGAGGGGAAGCUGAGGAUAAUAUUUAAUUUACUUUCGCCCAGAGCCCUCGCAGCUGCCAGCCAACAAAACCCAAAACAAGCCCAUGUGACAUUUCAGACACAGCUCAUGGAUCAGUGCCUUCCUCAACCAAAAGGGCUGACAGGAGGACUGUAGACUUGUCACUUACUGCUGACCGCACUCUUCCAGAUGAAGAAAAUAAGAUGGAUCAUAGAAGGCUGGUAGAUGGAUGUAAUUGGAUGUACCACAAUAUGACAUGCACACUAUGUUGGAUUGGCAUCGAAGAAUAAAAGUGCAAAAAGGUUGCAACAGAUAUAAAAUGAACCAUCUUGCUUUCACCCCUAAGGCUCAACUGAAAGAUUUACUGUCAACAAUUGUAUGGCUUCAAAUUAAGUUUAUUUAUGAUUAAGACUGAAAGUUUCAAUGUGAACUUAGUAAA